CCCCAUCGCUCGUGAAGAACGGAAUCGGGGCGGCUCGAUCGAGUCAGGACGAUGGCAUGAGAUUUAAUGCCACGCAUUGUUGCUGGUUUCAAGUUGCAAAGAACACAGACCUUGCGGUUCUGCAAUUUAGGGUAGAUAAGAUCACACAUUCAAUGAAGGGUGCAGGGGAAAAGGUAGUAUUUGACCUCCAAUUGUUGAAGAGGAAUGCACUUGGCUAGUCCACUAACUACUGUUCUUGUUGAUUCCUCGCCCACAUCAAUUUCUUCCACGUAAAGGUUGUCAGCAUCUGGAUGUAUCUGAGCUUUUCUUAUGAUGCCCACUCGGAUGUCUAGUUUUGAAAUGGAUGAAUCAGUUUCUGCAGCC